AGCAGCCGCGGUAAUUCCAGCUCCAAUAGCGUAUAUUAAAGUUGUUGCAGUUAAAAAGCUCGUAGUUGAAUUUCGGGAUUGGCGCAUCGGUCGUGCCUUACGGGGUAUGAACUGGUGCAGUCAAUUUCUCACCUUCUGGAGAACCGCGAUGUCCUUAAUUGGGUGCCGCGGGGAACCAGGACCUUUACUUUGAAAAAACUUAGAGUGUUUAAAGCAGGCAUUUUUGCUUGAAUACAUUAGCAUGGAAUAAUAAAAGUAGGACGGCAUGGUUCUAUUUUGUUGGUUUCUAGGACCACCGUAAUGAUUAAUAGGGGAUAGUUGGGGGGCAUUAGUAUUCAAUUGUCAGAGGUGAAAUUCUUGGAUUUAUUGAAGACUAACUACUGCGAAAGCAUUUUGCCAAGGAUGUUUUCAUUAAUCAAGAACGAAAGUUAGGGGAUCGAAGACGAUCAGAUACCGUCGUAGUCUUAACCAUAAACUAUGCCGACUAGGGAUCGGAUGAUGUUAAUUUUUUUCAAUGACU
rnacentral:rRNA from 1 species